GCUCGGGGUUUGACCUUUCUCGUUUCCAACCCUCUCCUUCCGCCUCCGCCGCCACACCCCUCGGGUUUGAAGCCCACACACGCGGCCUCUCUCCCAUGUAACCGGCCGGCAUGAGCAUCGCCAGCGGGAGAGCACGCAGCCCACCCCAACAGCAGCGGGGAGCUGGCCUGCCGCCGCCGCCGGGGAGGCGACCCGGCGACCGGAGGAGAGGGCGCCAUGGCGCGGAAGCACGGCUGGCAGCUCCCGGCCCACACCCUGCAGGCGGCUUCCGGCGGAGGAGUCUCGUGUUGUUCGUGGAGGCUGCGAGGAGGUAGCGAUGGGGAUCGGCUACCGAGCGAGGGCAAGGGCGCCGAUCUUCCAUCUCCUGUUUGUAAUUACCGGCGCGGCCACCAUCGACUGGAUCUUCACCCCCUUGGAUCCCUCUUUCUCUACCAACCGGUGAUUGAACAGAUUAAUGUGUCUCUACACCUUGUUAGUUAGUACUAUUAAGAAAAUGAAGGUUGCUCCUGCCGUGAAACAACUUAAAAAAUUAUAAACAAAAGUUGAUGGACGAGCUGCAGCCGAUGGUCGGUGAUAUACUGAUAUGUGUUUGUGCCAGAGCUUUUGCACUCUCCUUGCAUCAAUUUUUUAUCUAACUCUACUAUGUCUGGCAUAAUAGGAUGAUGAGGCAAGUCAGUAAGUUGAGAAGGUCAACAGUUGAAGCGAAUCUCAAUGUAUUACUUGAUAACUCUUUAGUGCAUUUUUUGUGCCAACAUUACAUUAAUCAAUCACUUUGAUUAGUGGAAGCAACUAAACUGUUGUUGUAAGUACAUAUAAUCAGAACGAAGGGUGAGCGCGGAUAAGCAGAUCAAUAGGUUGCUAUAUUAUUCCACAUAUAUGGGUUUGUGUGAUGUUACUUUGGAUUACUAAGAUUGUUAAUCUAUACUGGAAAUUAGUGGCUGUUAAAAAUUAGUCUUGAUUUACUAUAGCAAUAGUUGUUGGUUACAGCCAUUACAAAGAUUGAUUAGUUCUAUCAGGUUAUUUAAACAGCAGCAAGGAAUGAACAUUACAGCUCUCUUUGAUUUUCUUUGAUGUUUCCUCUUUUGUCUGAUCUGAAUUAAUAUGUCAUGACUAUAUAUUCUACCCCACAUCAUCAUUCCUUCUACAUCGCUCAUAGGAGAAUAUGGUAAUGGCACUUUAUUACUUGGUGGUAAUAGACAUAACUCCAGUCUUGCCAUGUUUGUACAAUUAAUUUAAUUCAAUUCCAAACAUGUAUCAUUUGCAGAAGAUGUGCCAUCAGUUGAUGGGCAGCUAACCGUUGCAAGAGCAUUCAGAGAUAUGAGCUGCUACUCAUACACAGCUCCUACAAACCUACAGAGCCAUUGUUCUCCUACCUGGGAGCGGAUAGGAAGGAUUUGGGUGCCGGCAACGUGGGGCUGAGAAGAAAGGAGGAUGUGCGAGGACAACUAGUGGGCGUACUACAACCGCAGCUGAUUCGUGUGUGUUGUUUGUUCGAUCCAACCCUUCCGUCUGCAGGGCCUGGCGAAGGGAAUGAAGAUGCACACCCUCGGCCUCGGCCAUGACUUUGUCCUCUAGGUACAAAAGCGAGAUAGACUGAAAUUUGAUAAACAUUUGCUGAAUAUACAGUAUUGCAUGAUUCCUUGUAUUAGCCUCUUUCCAAAUGCUCAGUUUUAUGACAGGAAGAUUUUACAUGGUUCAAAUAUCCUGUCUCCUAGCUAUGACAAGGAUUAUACAUGCCUCCUGUAUGGCAGCUACACUCUUAUGAAUGUCACGGAUGGGAGGGAAGACAAGGAGGGCACAGGAAACAGUCGACGAAACAUGGUUGAAGUUGCUGUUGUUCUGCACCUCAUCCAAACCAUCUUUAGAUGUUGGAAAAGUACAGGCAAAGCGCUUAGCAUCGGUGUGGUCUCUUCCUAUAGUCUCAAUUUGAUGCUAUUAAAGAUAGACUUGAUAAAAAAUACAACACAUGUGAUGGCUUUCAUGUGCGCAUCAAGUCUAUUGAUGGUUUUCAAGGAGAAGAGGAUGAUAUAUUAAUACUAUCAACGGUAAUAUCCAAUUGGAAUGGAGUUGUUGGGUUUCUUGCUGAUAACCAAAGAACAAACAUUACAUGGGACAAGGGCAAGGCUCUGGAUUUUCUGAAUGAAUCGUUAGUAUAUACCCAACUGAAGCGAUGACGUCUGCCGGUGUAUAUUGGCGACGACCGCAUCGACAGGAUCCUGGUGGCCAAGUGCCUCAAGGAGAGCAGCACGUCUUACUCACUCCAGGACCCAGCAGAGCUUUUUCAUGGCCUUUAGACAUUUGAAACGGAGGGAGUAUGAUUCUCCUAUAUUUGCGUGCUUGUAGCUUUGAUCUAUUUUAUGAAUAUGUGCUGCUGCUGUAUCUUAUUUUUUCCAACCUA